GUGAGUUUUGGGAGGAAAUUUAGGGUUUUUUGAAAUGAGUGAUUAUAGUGGAGGAAAUGAUGUAGGUGAAGAUUCGAACAACAUACAUGAUUGUGUUGAUGGUAAGGUUGUCUCAAUUAAUCAUAUGGAUUGAUGUUUGACGAAGAUAUCUUACUAUAAUAAAGAAAAGGGAUAUUUUUGGUGGCCAUGUGCACCUGAAAAGACAAAACUAGCCCUCCGUGUUUUUAACUCAGCAACGCCUCCUCCCGUCGUCAUCAAUCGAACCUCUAUAUCCUUCGUUCACCACUAACAUCAGCACCGUAUCGUCUACCACCCCCGACUCUCACACCACGAUCCUACACCACCAACUCCAUUAACACCACCGUAAACACCACCACCCCCAACUCCUCAACACGUCAUACACAGACACCGCGAUUCACUACCGCCACUACACCAUCAACACCACCGUUACCAGCUAAAUUAUCACCACGACACAGCCAUACUGCAGUGGAAGAUGAGCAGGGUUAACUACAUUGAGCACAUUUUGGUACCUUUUUGUUUAUCCACUCUCAAUUUUGGCUAACCAUACAACUAAAGUUCAGGUAUUGGUCCAGGUUUACUUAAUUCUGCGGAUUCUUGUAAAAUUCUGCAACUGUGUUUCCUCUUAUUGGGAUGGAUAGGUCAGGUAAUGAUAUAUAUAUGCCAUUAUUGAAGAGACUAUAACCAAGAUAUCACUAGGUAUAUAUCUUUCAACAUAUGUGUAUUAUGAUACCCACUAUUUACGUGCCAAACUUUUAUGCGAGCAAUAGCAAGAAACAAAGUAGUUAUCGAUAAACAGAUGCUUAUUAGUCUAAUGUUUUUUUUUUUUUUUUGGCUUAGCUGUUUAAUGGGUCUGCCAUUUCUCUUAGGUACCUAAUCAGUAAUCACUGGUGUGCAUAUGCUUAUUAGUUAACAUUUGAACUUCGAACUACUGUUUCUUGCAUGUAUAUUUUGUGUCUGGGUUGCGCCGUGCGUGGUUGAUCCCUCUUUUCUUUAUUAUAGUAAGAUUUAAGUAUCUUUAUUUGAUUGUGGAUUUGUCUCCUUCGAUAUUAUACAUUUCAGUAUCUUUAUUUACUUGGUAGAUUUUAUUGGCAGCAUGUAGCUUCCUUCGAUAGAUCAAGUGCAGGAGUUUGACUCAAAGAUUAGUUGUUUAAUGAAGAACACACUAACUCAUCUCCGUCGAAGUCCUAUACUAAUCGAGUUAGAAAGACAAAGGCAUGCUCAACUACAGGUCCACCGAGUUUUGACCAAACAAAAACGUAAUGAUGUGACUGAAAAUGAAAAGGAAGUACACACAAUGAUCAUAAUUCAAUGACUGAAAUUGAGAAGGAAGCAAAUCUACAAAGACGUCGAAAUGCUUAUAUGCAGAAAACAAGAGGUGGUGACGAAACGACAAGUCGGCAGUUGCAUCGCACGUGCGUCUUUGCUAGUGGUAAUAGAGGAAGCCUUGAAUAAUGGUGUAAAUGAAGAUAAAUCUUAUUGCUCAAAAUGAAGGAACCAAUACUCAAAAUGAAGAACUCGAAACUCAAAACAAUCAGAUUCUCACUUACUGCAAUUUGGAGGUUAUACUCUUUUAAAGAACGCAAAUGGACCCAUUUGAAAGCUUUGGGGUUUGACACACAGCCAGUACUCAUUGGGCUCAUCCUCUUUCAGGCGGAUGCAUUUGCAAAGAAGCUUGCGUUAUGCGCAGGCACUCCGAGGGGAUCUUUUUAAGCUGCAGGAAGAAAAUCUACCGGCAAUGAACACAGAUCCAUGGUAUUCUUCCUACCGGUACUCGCAUUCCCCACGUUUUGAGAGUUGGUAGCGUUGGAUGAGACGAUAAGAAAAAGAAAUGACCAGAAGGACAAGAGAGCUUUCUAGCACCUUAGUAAGACAGCUUGAGUAAUCUUACUUCACCAGAUUUAAUUUGUUUUGUUUCCUCCCUCUUACUCACAUGGGAAGUGUAACUAUCAAAUACAGAAUUUGCACAAGUAGUAUAACGGUUUACUUUUGUAUAAGUAGAAGGAAUUUAGUAUCACUAGCAGCAGUGUAAGAAAUGCUAGCUAGCUUUAAUUCAAUUAUAGUUUGUUGUUUUAGCAAUUUAGACAUGGU